GACAGAGGAUGCAAGCGUUAUCCGGAAUGAUUGGGCGUAAAGCGUCUGUAGGUGGCUUUUUAAGUCCGCCGUCAAAUCCCAGGGCUCAACCCUGGACAGGCGGUGGAAACUACCAAGCUGGAGUACGGUAGGGGCAGAGGGAAUUUCCGGUGGAGCGGUGAAAUGCGUAGAGAUCAGCAGGAAUACCCGUGGCGAAGGCGGCCCCCUGGGCCGAACCUGACGCUGAGGCGCGAAGGCUAGGGGAGCGAACGGG
rnacentral:rRNA from 1 species